GACGAACGCUGGCGGCGUGCCUAAUGCAUGCAAGUCGCACGGGGUGGCUUCGGCUGCUCAGUGGCGCACGGCUGAGGAACACGUGCGGAUCGACCCACUCGUGGGGGACAACGGUGGGAAACCACCGCUAAUCCCGCAUACGCUCUGCGGAGGAAAGCUGGCUUGCCAGCGCGAGUGGACGACCGUGCGGCCCAUCAGGUUGUUGGCGGGGUAACGGCCCACCAAGCCCGUGACGGGUAGCUGGUCUGGGAGGAUGACCAGCCAGACUGGGACUGAGACACGGCCCAGACUCCUACGGGAGGCAGCAGCAAGGAAUUUUCGGCAAUGGGCGCAAGCCUGACCGAGCAACGCCGCGUGGUGGAUGACGGCCUUCGGGUUGUAAACACCUUUUGGGGGGGAAGACAACGACGGUACCCCCCGAACAAGCCCCGGCUAACUCUGUGCCAGCCGCCGCGGUAAAAC
rnacentral:rRNA from 1 species